rnacentral:rRNA from 1 species
AUUGAACGCUGGCGGCAUGCUUUACACAUGCAAGUCGAACGGUAACAGGUUAAGCUGACGAGUGGCGAACGGGUGAGUAAUGCAUCGGAACGUGCCCGGUCGUGGGGGAUAACGCAGCGAAAGCUGCGCUAAUACCGCAUACGAUCUGAGGAUGAAAGCGGGGGACCGUAAGGCCUCGCGCGAUCGGAGCGGCCGAUGUCAGAUUAGGUAGUUGGUGGGGUAAAGGCUCACCAAGCCGACGAUCUGUAGCUGGUCUGAGAGGACGACCAGCCACACUGGGACUGAGACACGGCCCAGACACCGACGGGUGGCUGCAGUCGAGAAUCUUCGGCAAUGAGCGCAAGCUUGACCGAGCGAUACCGCGUGCGGGAUGAAGGCCCUCGGGUUGUAAACCGCUGUCGUAGGGGAGGAAAUCUGACGGGGGUUCUCCCUCGUAGUUGACCUAUCCUAGGAGGAAGUACGGGCUAAGUACGUGCCAGCCGCCGCCGUAAAAC